rnacentral:rRNA from 1 species
UACAGAGGUGGCAAGCGUUGUUCGGAUUCAUUGGGCGUAAAGGGUGCGUAGGCGGCGCGGUAAGUCGGGUGUGAAAUCUUGGCAGCUUAAACUCCGAAACUGCAUUCGAUACUGCCGUUGCUUGAGGACUGGAGAGGAGACUGGAAUUUAACGGUGUAGCGGUGAAAUGCGUAGAUAUCGUAAGGAAGACCAGUGGCGAAGGCGGGUCUCUGGACAGUUCCUGACGCUGAGGCACGAAGGCCAGGGGAGCAAACGGG